rnacentral:rRNA from 1 species
GACGAACGCUGGCGGCGUGCUUAACACAUGCAAGUCGAACGGAAAGGCCCUGCUUUUGUGGGGUGCUCGAGUGGCGAACGGGGGAGUAACACGUGAGUAACCUGCCCUUGACUUUGGGAUAACUUCAGGAAACUGGGGCUAAUACCGGAUAGGAGCUCCUGCUGCAUGGUGGGGGUUGGAAAGUUUCGGCGGUUGGGGAUGGACUAGCGGCUUAUCAGCUUGUUGGUGGGGUAGUGGCUUACCAAGGCUUUGACGGGUAGCCGGCCUGAGAGGGUGACCGGCCACAUUGGGACUGAGAUACGGCCCAGACUCCUACGGGAGGCAGCAGUGGGGAAUAUUGCACAAUGGGCGGAAGCCUGAUGCAGCAACGCCGCGUGCGGGAUGACGGCCUUCGGGUUGUAAACCGCUUUCGCCUGUGACGAAGCGUGAGUGACGGUAAUGGGUAAAGAAGCACCGGCUAACUACGUG